AGGGACGGGAGCAGGGUCUGCGGUCAGGACCUCGGGGCCCCUGCAGCAGUUCAUUCCAGGGCACGGCCCGGCGCUGUUUGCAAAGGCAGGAACAGCGGGCUCAGAUAACCCAGCAACGAUUAAUGGUCACGUUCCCGAGCAAACUCCAGUUUCCCCCAGGAAGCCUGAUUACUUGUUGGGGAAUCUAAUUCAGAAGGCGGAAGAGAAAGCGGCUCCCCUCAGGGAACCUGACUGGAGCUCACCGCGGGGCCGGAAGCGGGAUGAGGGCCUGGCAACAGCCCAGCGCUGAUGCGGGUGUGACUCAGCCAGCGGAGGGGACCCAAUUCGAUCCCUGGUUGAGGAUAAGAUCCCACAUGUCGUGUGGCCAAAAACAAUCAAAAACAGACAAGCAAAAAAACUAUGGUGCCUAUUUGAGGAACUUGAUGAAAUGGGAUGAUUCUCAAAGAAACAUGACAAGUGGGACAAAAUCCCAGCUAAUGAAGCAGACCCUCUUCCUGAAGUUCUAAGAAUUCCUACCUCCAGCCUAGACUGGUAUACUUAGCUGUCUACUUGACAUCUUCGCUUUAGACAUCUACUUUUAAACUUAGCUUGUUCAAAAUUGACCUUCCCCACAGAAAACUUGUUUUAGUUCCUGGGCAACUAAAACAAUGCCUGUACACCACUAUUGUUGUCC
ensembl:lncRNA